GCCCGGGGGCACAAAAGUGUCACAGGAAUCAGACACAAAGGGCCCUUCCCGUGAGGACCAGAGUCUCCUCUCAGCACAAGAGGGGCCGAUGGAAAAAGCUGCAGGUGACGUGCUGCUGAAGGAGCACCCCUGCCCCCAGUCUGAGAAAUGGGGUGAUUCCCGGGACUCCAGAACAGAGGCCAACAUGGAGCCCCAAAGAUCUGCACGGCUGGGAACACCGAGAGAGCAUCUACGCGUUGUAAGCGGUCGUGAGCACUAAGUGAGAGAACACGUUCGGAGGGUUCAGCACAGUGACUGGGACACAACAUGUGGCAGCUGCGAUCGUUACGCCCCUGGGCUGAUGGGCCCAGCUCCACCCCACGCUUC